GAUGAACGCUGGCGGCGUGCCUAAUACAUGCAAGUCGAGCGAACAGACGAGAGUGCUUGCCCUCUCUGACGUUAGCGGCGGACGGGUGAGUAACACGUGGGUAACCUACCUAUAAGACUGGGAUAACUUCGGGAAACCGGAGCUAAUACCGGAUAAUAUUUAGCUUCGCAUGAAGCAAUAGUGAAAGACGGUUCUGCUGUCACUUAUAGAUGGACCCGCGGUGUAUUAGCUAGUUGGUGAGGUAACGGCUCACCAAGGCAACGAUACAUAGCCGACCUGAGAGGGUGACCGGCCACACUGGGACUGAGACACGGCCCAGACUCCUACGGGAGGCAGCAGUAGGGAAUCUUCCGCAAUGGACGAAAGUCUGACGGAGCAAUGCCGCGUGAGUGAAGAAGGUUUUCGGAUCGUAAAACUCUGUUGUAAGGGAAGAACAAGUACGUUAGUAACUGAACGUACCUUGACGGUACCUUACCAGAAAGCCACGGCUAACUACGUG
rnacentral:rRNA from 1 species